GACGUAGGGCGCGAGCGUUGUCCGGAUUUAUUGGGCGUAAAGAGCUCGUAGGCGGCUUGUCGCGUCGUCCGUGAAACCUGCGGCUACAACUGCAGGCUGGCGGUCGAUACGGGCAGGGCUGGAGUUCGGUAGGGGAGACUGGAAUUCCUGGUGUGAGCGGUGAAAUGCGCAGAUAUCAGGAGGAACACCGGUGGCGAAGGCGGUUCUCUGGGACGGUACUGACGCUGGAGACGCGAAAGCGUGGGGAGCGAACAGGAU
rnacentral:rRNA from 1 species